UGUAUCAAGCUGUGUGUUCCAAGGAUAUGUAUAAACAAUGUUUACCGUCAAAUUUUAUACAUUUGAUAUUUUCAACUUUUGGAUACCAUUGGUUGUCAGAAAGACCUUGCAAUAUAGAAAAUGGAAUGUUCGUACAUGAUGCUAACGAGAGCGAACAGAGAGAAUUUGCUCAACAAGCCGAGAAGGACUGGGAAACAUUCCUACUCCAACGAGGAAAAGAAUUAAAACGUGUUUUCAGGUGGAAUAAUGUAUCUUCUCGGUUUGGUAAAGGAUGACAAAGGAGAAUAUGGUUCAUUAGAGUUUCACAAGCAACUGUCAGAAGUUCAAAAGAAAAUGUUUCAAGAUGGAUUUAUAUCUAAGGAGGAACAUAAAAAUAUGCUCAUUAACUCUUAUCAUCGCUCCGAAGCUGAAAUGAGACUUCCGUUUUGCCAAGGAUCAAAGGUCUCUGCAUUAGGUUUAAAAUUACAAUCCUUCACAACGAGAAACUGGACAGCGGUAAAAAAUCCCGGAAACGAAAACAGUAAG